rnacentral:lncRNA from 1 species
CUAAGUCACUGAAGUGUACCCUUUAAGCCAGGGAGGGACAGGGCCACACUUUCAGUGCUAACAAUUGGUGAAGAAUCAGAUGCUUACAGAGGUGAAGUAUCCCGGGUAGGUUUCUCUCUGAGAAUGAAGUCUGCAAUCUGUCACAUCAGAACAGGAAGAGAGGAUUUGAGGGAGAACCCCUUCUCAGAUCUCCAGAGUGUGGAAGGGACGUUUUGGUGCUGGCUAUGGCUUUGUGACACUGCAGUUGAAACGGGCAAAGUGGGCUCCUCACUUGAAGAACUUUGAUGCCUCUAAAUGCUCUGAUGAGAAAAAACUUGUCCUCAAA